UUCACCAUUAGAGAGGAUAGGCAUGCCCUUAAAGCAGAAGGGACAGUCUAGGGAAAAGAUGAGCUAUUACAUGGAACAAAAGCCAUGGUUAAUGGAAAACUUUAUGGUUUCAGAAACAGGAAAAGAAGAAAAGAUUGCUACAAGGCCAGUAUGAUGCCUCUUGACAGAAUUUGUAUAUAGCAAUCCUGAUCCACUUUAAAGUUCAUAUCUCCUCAGACAGAGGUGUUUGGUAGAGUGAUCGUUGGAGUGAUGGGAAAAACGGAGGUAUUAUGGGUAGAUGACUGAAUAUAUACCAACCUCGUGAAAUACUACAGGAUACUUAAUGUGCUCUUUUCAGUUCGGAAGGACCAUUUUCGCUACUGGCCCCGGAAAUGGGACAUAUCUUCAACACCUUGAUGUCACUGUGAAAUCACGGUAAAAAAUGGCAACAGCAGCUGAAUGCCCCCUUCAUUGACAAGCUGUCAAAACCAGGACAAGGGCAGGUGUGGGGUCAGGCCUAUUACAAGUGGAAUGUCUUCACAUAUCCGUGGAUAAUGAGGCAGUAAAAAUCCAGUCAUUUAGGACUAAAACAACAUGAAUAAAUUUUAUUGGAAAGGUUUCCAAUCAGUGUGUUUGCUCAUGGCAUUGAAAACAACCAUCAGCACAUCCAGAUCUAUUCUAAAAAACUGUACUAUGGCUGCCUGCACUUCUGAGACCCUUGUAAUUUUGUUUUUCACAUAUCUUAGUUCCUUAGAUCAGUGGUUCUCAAACUUGAUAACCUGAGGGCCCCUGUGUAUGCUGCUUUUCGUUCCAACCACAAUUGCAAUUCAAGAAUUUUAAAAAAUUGUUAAUUUGUCUUAAUUAGGUGCUUUCAUGUUUUAGAGCAGGGGUCAGCAAUCUCAUCCAGAAAGGGUCAGUGUGGGUGUCGGCUUUUGUUCCAACCAAGCAGUAACACACCUGAUUCUACUAAUCAAGGUGCUAAGCAAAGACUCUAGUGGUUGAUUAGUAGAAUCAGGUGUGUUACUCCUUAGAUCAAUCUAAAAUACAUCACUAACUCAGUUGAGUGAGAGCAGAACCCAGGCAGUUGUCAUUGCUGAUAGAAGUAGAUGGGAUCUCUUUAAAGAUCAAACUCCCCUGAUUGUCAUCAGCCCCUUUGAGUACAGUAAGAAUUGUCGUUAAAAGAACUGCAUCCUGAAUGACUGGAGCAAUGAUCUUGAUGCCAGAAUGUCAGGAGCAAUUUUAUUCUCAUCCCACUGCUGCAAGGUCCACCAUUGGUUCUGGAGGGCAAUGACCAGCAAGCGUGCCCUCUGACAAGAGUGCAAUCAGAAGAUCAUAUAUUUUAACUCUUUGCCAGCUGCCAACCAAGCACCCAUAUCCAAUGCAACGGAGAACUGUGCAUGGUUACACCACAGGCAGAUUGCAAAUGGCCAUCUAUCAGGGAUGAUGAGGCAUUAUGUUAUCUCUUUGACUGCCUCGGCAAAGAUAAAAGAAUUACCAUGGCCAGUUAUUCAUUGCUUCAUGGGAUUCCCCAUAGUUGGAACUGGUCUGGACUCAAUCUUACAACUGCACUGCACAUGUGCCUAAAGAAGAAGAAGAGACAGUCUACCCCAUUUUGCAUCAUUCAAACUAAGGGAAAGCUGAGAGGGUAACAGACAGAAUAGGGAUCACCAUGCCAUGACAGGGGAUAAAACCCUCAACCAUGCCAAGGUAUUUGUAUACGACUUGAGAGUUGGCCACCCUAUGGACUGUGCCAAAUAUUUUGCCACGCCUUUCUACAUUUUGAAAUCCCUUCAAUGUUCUUCAGUGGAGUGGGAAGGCUCACACCAAUUGCCUUUAUGCCACAUAUUGUUGAAAAUAUAUGGUUCAAUUUGUAAUAGAAAUAUACAAUGAUGAGAUUUUA